AUUGAACGCUGGCGGCAUGCCUUACACAUGCAAGUCGAACGGCAGCACGGGUGCUUGCACCUGGUGGCGAGUGGCGAACGGGUGAGUAAUACAUCGGAACAUGUCCUGUAGUGGGGAAUAGCCCGGCGAAAGCCGGAUUAAUACCGCAUACGAUCUACGGAUGAAAGCGGGGGACCUUCGGGCCUCGCGCUAUAGGGUUGGCCGAUGGCUGAUUAGCUAGUUGGUGGGGUAAAGGCCUACCAAGGCGACGAUCAGUAGCUGGUCUGAGAGGACGACCAGCCACACUGGGACUGAGACACGGCCCAGACUCCUACGGGAGGCAGCAGUGGGGAAUUUUGGACAAUGGGCGAAAGCCUGAUCCAGCAAUGCCGCGUGUGUGAAGAAGGCCUUCGGGUUGUAAAGCACUUUCGUCCGGAAAGAAAUCCUUGGCCCUAAUACGGUCGGGGGAUGACGGUACCGGAAGAAUAAGCACCGGCUAACUACGUG
rnacentral:rRNA from 1 species